UUUUCUCUAAAUCGGCAGUAAAUACAGCUGAGUAAAAUUAGCUUGGUUUUCUUCCUUCUUUUGUAACUGAACUGUUUUUAUUAAAAAUCCUAUUUGAAUAUGUAGAAAAAGUGGGGAUGUCCUGUAAUAUAUCGUAGCUUUUCUUGUUUACAGGGUGCUCACAAAGCAUGCGUCCCUUAGAGUCCCACGGAAAGGUUCUCAGUGCGCUCUCUAUCAAGUGCUCUGAGUCUUGAUAAAUUGGAGAAGAGCCCAAGAGAAAUUUUUCAUCCCUUGAUAUAAAAGGGAUCGGUGAAUUUUAACUUUGGAGUCCUCUAUGCUAAGGAUGCUCAGCUUACAGAUGGUGAAAUAUUCAGUAAUGUAUUUGCUGCAGCUCUGCGAACCCAAGCUUUGGGUUCCUUCUGUCCCACUGGGAGUUGCCCAAUUUGGUUGCAUCUGGUGAAAUUCACCCUGAGACCUUACAGAAGCAGCUGCAACUACGUGAGAGCCAUUUGCAGUUCUCUCCAGACACCUGGAGAAUGGGUGACGUUUCUGAGGAUCCGGCGAGCGUGCUUCUAUCAAAACUCAGUCUGUGAAAUUUCUGGGGAAAACCCUUCUGUGUCCUAAAGGGUUCAAACUCUGGUGAGGAUCCAGUUAUCAGGUGCUCACCUGGAUGGUUCCAGCUCCCAAAGGGAAAGACUCUCGUAUCCUUGUCGUCGGGCUCGGUGCUGUCCAAGAAGACACAGAGACUACAAAAACCAUAAGAAGCCAAAUAUGACUGCAGGGAAAAGAAGCUGGAGAGAACAGAAGACUCAUCACGGCGGGACAGCGUGAAGACUGAAAGUGUAAGAAGAUGUGGAGGGAAACAGAGAAUCUGACAGGAGCAGCGGACGCACGAGUGCACGAAUUUUGCUUUUUGCUUGGAUGUAAACGCAGGAGUUGAAAGGAAUUUGGGAGUGAGAAGGGACAUUUCAGAAGGAGAAGAAGAAAAAGAAGUUGUUGUUGUUGUUGCUACAGUCCUGGCAAAAGCUUUUG